rnacentral:rRNA from 1 species
UCUGUGGCGAGAAAAGCUGUGUGUAUUGAUUAGGCGCCCGUACCGCAAACCGACACAGGUAGAUGAGGAGAGAAUCCUAAGGCUAACGGGAGAAGGGUUGUUAAGGAACUCGGCAAAUUGACCCCGUAACUUCGGGAUAAGGGGAGCCUCCUACGGGAGGCCGCAGUGAAUAGGCCCAAGCAACUGUUUACCAAAAACACAGGUCUCUGCUAAAUCGAAAGAUGACGUAUAGGGGCUGACGCCUGCCCGGUGCCGGAAGGUUAAGAGGAGAGCUUAGCGCAAGCGAAGGUUCGAAUUGAAGCCCCGGUAAAACGGCGGCCGUAACAAUAACGGUCCUAAGGUAGCGAAAUUCCUUGUCAGGUAAGUUCUGACCCGCACGAAUGGCGUAAUGAUUUGGGCACUGUCUCAACAGCCCGCCCGGCGAAAUUGUAGUACUGGUGAAGAUGCCAGUUACCCGCAACUAGACGGAAAGACCCCAUGGAGCUUUACUGUAGCCUAAUACUGAAGAUCGGUAAUGCAUGUACAGGAUAGGUGGGAGCCAGCGAAACCCGGGCGUCAGCUCGGAUGGAGGCAACCUUGGAAUACCACCCUUGUAUUGCUGGUUUUCUAACCUGCGGCCAUGAAUCUGGUCGGGGGACACUGUUAGGUGGGCAGUUUGACUGGGGCGGUCGCCUCCAAAAGCGUAACGGAGGCGCUCAAAGGUUGGCUCAGCACGGACGGAAAUCGUGCAUAGAGUGCAAACGCAUAAGCCAACUUGACUGCGAGACCGACGGGCCGAGCAGGUACGAAAGUAGGAGUUAGUGAUCCGGUGGUAUGUGAGUGGAAAUGCCAUCGCUCAACGGAUAAAAGCUACCCUGGGGAUAACAGGCUGAUCUCCCCCAAGCGUCCACAGCGACGGGGAGGUUUGGCACCUCGAUGUCGGCUCGUCACAUCCUGGGGCUGUAUUCGGUCCCAAGGGUUCGGCUGUUCGCCGAUUAAAGUGGCACGCGAGCUGGGUUCAGAACGUCGUGAGACAGUUCGGUCCCUAUCUGUUGCGGGCGCAGGAGAUUUGAAGGGAGCUGUCCUUAGUACGAGAGGACCGGGAUGGACAGACCUCUGGUGCACCAGUUGUCGUGCCAACGGCACAGCUGGGUAGCUACGUCUGGACGAGAUAAACGCUGAAAGCAUCUAAGUGUGAAACUCCCCCUAAGAUAAGAUCUCCCAUCCAUUAGGAGUAAGGGACGACAGAGACUAUGUCGUUGAUAGGUCGGAAGUGUAAGUGCAGUAAUGCAUUGAGCUGACCGAUACUAAUAACCCGAGGGCUUGACC